CUGUGAAAAAGCCAUCGACAGGAUAGUGAGACUACGCGGCUGAGAAAGAAACCGACAACAACAUGGCUAAAAUGUUGACGGCUUACAUUGGAUUCGUUCUCCUUGCCAUGCCAUCACAGGUCCACGCGCAAAACACUACCACAAAGUCCCCUGCCAUGACUGCUAUGACCGAAGCUGGCGGCGCGAGUUCCAACAUGACCAAGAUGCCCGAUGUUGUCGCUACCAAGAACAUCACUAUUCCCAAAGGAGCCAGUGUGUCCUUGCUGUCCAGCUCGGUCACGCUCUUUUCCAUUGCGUUGGCUGGCGCUCUCCUACACGGCCGCUUCUAGAAGGCUCCUGUGCACGGAACAGACACUGCAAUGACUAAUAUUAGCGGCCUAGAUGGGGAAAUUGUUUUAGGAAGAGCACACUUUUAUAACUUAAAGGCAGUCGUGUUCACCUAACCAUAGAGUGCAAUUAGGCUGUUGCAGUGCUGCAGAACACCUUACUAAAUCACUGAUGGGAUUUCUUAUUUGGGCUCACACCUCCCUGGCCACUUCAAACCAGUAGGCCUAUACAACUUGUGCAUUGGCCAUCGGGCCUAUGGUGUGGACCCCUCCAUGGCGGCAGGCCAUGACGAGGAUGUGUGAAACUGGACUCUUUGACUCGUUUGGUCCCACUGAUCUUGUGUAGAUGGCAGGGUUGUGUUUUUAAAUGUAUGAAGUGUAAAUUUGCGCAGUGUUUGGGUAGUCUACUAAUAUAAGGAAGUUGGGGUGCAUUGUGGAACGUAAUGUAUCCAGUAGUCUGAUCUUUGGCAUGCAUAGCUGAAGUGUUUCUAAACCGGCAACUGCAAUGGACACUGAAGCUUGACUAUUUGAAGUAUCAUUUUUAGUUUAAAUUGUCAUGUGUUAACUAAUUAUUUGAAAUGUAUUUGUUCUUGUAGGCUACAAUAAAAUUACAUGGGCCUAACUGA